rnacentral:rRNA from 1 species
AAUAGAUACCCUGGUAGUCCACGCUGUAAACGGUGGGUACUAGGUGUGGGGUCCAUUCCACGGGUUCCGCGCCGUAGCUAACGCUUUAAGUACCCCGCCUGGGGAGUACGGCCGCAAGGCUAAAACUCAAAGGAAUUGACGGGGCCCCGCACAAGCGGCGGAGCAUGCGGAUUAAUUCGAUGCAACGCGUAGAACCUUACCUGGGUUUGACAUGGAUCGGGAGUGCUCAGAGAUGGGUGUGCCUCUUUUGGGGUCGGUUCACAGGUGGUGCAUGGCUGUCGUCAGCUCGUGUCGUGAGAUGUUGGGUUAAGUCCCGCAACGAGCGCAACCCUUGUUCACUGUUGCCAGCACGUUAUGGUGGGGACUCAGUGGAGACCGCCGGGGUCAACUCGGAGGAAGGUGGGGAUGACGUCAAGUCAUCAUGCCCCUUAUGUCCAGGGCUUCACGCAUGCUACAAUGGCUGGUACAGAGAGUGGCGAGCCUGUGAGGGUGAGCGAAUCUCGGAAAGCCGGUCUCAGUUCGGAUUGGGGUCUGCAAC